AUUGAACGCUGGCGGCAGGCCUAACACAUGCAAGUCGAACGGUAACAGGAAGCAGCUUGCUGCUUCGCUGACGAGUGGCGGACGGGUGAGUAAUGUCUGGGAAACUGCCUGAUGGAGGGGGAUAACUACUGGAAACGGUAGCUAAUACCGCAUAACGUCGCAAGACCAAAGAGGGGGACCUUAGGGCCUCUUGCCAUCGGAUGUGCCCAGAUGGGAUUGGCUAGUAGGUGGGGUAACGGCUCACCUAGGCGACGAUCCCUAGCUGGUCUGAGAGGAUGACCAGCCACACUGGAACUGAGACACGGUCCAGACUCCUACGGGAGGCAGCAGUGGGGAAUAUUGCACAAUGGGCGCAAGCCUGAUGCAGCCAUGCCGCGUGUAUGAAGAAGGCCUUCGGGUUGUAAAGUACUUUCAGCGGGGAGGAAGGGAGUAAAGUUAAUACCUUUGCUCAUUGACGCUACCCGCAGAAGAAGCACCGGCUAACUCCGUG
rnacentral:rRNA from 1 species